rnacentral:rRNA from 1 species
UACGUAGGGGGCUAGCGUUAUCCGGAAUUACUGGGCGUAAAGGGUGCGUAGGUGGUUUCUUAAGUCAGAGGUGAAAGGCUACGGCUCAACCGUAGUAAGCCUUUGAAACUGGGGAACUUGAGUGCAGGAGAGGAGAGUGGAAUUCCUAGUUUAGCGGUGAAAUGCGUAGAUAUUAGGAGGAACACCAGUUGCGAAGGCGGCUCUCUGGACUGUAACUGACACUGAGGCACGAAAGCGUGGGGAGCAAACAGG